rnacentral:tRNA from 1 species
AGCAGCGUGGCUCAGUGGAAAGAGCCCGGGCUUGGGAGUGCGAGGUCAUGGGUUCGAAUCCCAGCUCUGCCA